ACUUGGGGGCCGGUUGUGUGUUCUCGGUGAGUCGGGUGUCGGGGGCGAGGAUUCGAGCGGACCCCGGAGGCCCGGGCUUCAGGUGGAAGGUGCAGAAUUGGGAAAAGGCGUGUGGAUGAACGAUGGCGCUCGGUGUAACGAAGCUGUUACGUGAAGAUGCUAAGAUGCAAAGGAAAAUUCCAAAGCUUAUGGGAGAAUAUUUGCUGGAAAAUUACCCGGCUAAAACCUGACGAUGUUGCCAGCAUCCUGGGAGUUGAUGAAUACUAAUGAAGCUGUGGAUGUCCCUGGCUGUCAGAUUCGUUUUGAAUGAGGGGUCGCUGUCUGCCUGUGGAAGAGACCGGUUUGCUAGGACGUUUUUAAGCUGUAACCAUUUCUGAACUAGUGUUACAAGAUUUACCUGCCUGUUGUAUGGAAAACUGGUGAUCAGGAAAAGCUCUUCGUAUUAUGGACAUGGAAAGAAAACAUGCAGAUCAAGAUUAUCUGGAGUAAUUUUUAGUCAUGGCACACGGUCCUGGAUGCCCACAGCCUGUUAACUAGGAGAUUACUUCCUAGCUCUGUUUCUAGGAGUGCGUGUCAAACUUAAGUAUUUGUAAUGGAAUUUUUCACCCCAGUUUUAGGAGUCUUGUAAUCAAAUAAUUGGAUGAAUGUCUUAUCUUUGGUUAAGUAUUAAAUGUAAAAUGUGUAAUUAAAGCUGAGUGAAAGUUUAUGUUUAAUGAAGAUGGAGAGACGGCCUUUAAUGGGAUAGGAUGGGUAUAAUUGUAAUUUGAAAGAAUGUUUAAACUAAAAAAUGGGGAGUAAUAAUGAGACUAAAAAGGGCACAGUGUGGCAGUUAAAGGUCACUGAAAAUCUGGGUUGGAACUAGUCAAACAUUGUACAGAAUGGAUUUAGUGUAAACAGUAAUGGCAUCUGAUCUAUCCCAGGUGGUUAGGUCCCCAUUCAUGAUUAUUUUCCCUAAAUAGUUCCCAAGCCCAUAUUUAAAUACCAUGGUCAAAACGCCAAACUUUUUUCUUCAGUGAGCAGUAAUCUUUUCCCUAAAAAUGUUUUCUUGCCUUAGAAGAAUUCUAUUUUGAAAUUAUACAGUUCAGGAGAGGCUCUGGAAAUGUUUCUUGCGCCCAUAUUAAAAUGAUGAACUAAAAUUAAAAGGGCUCAGUAUUUGGGGUAUCUGCACAUUAUAAAACCAGGUGCAAAAAAUUCCAUAGUGGCUACAGUUUGGGGAAAUUAAGGGACCUUGAGACUUGUUUCAAUGAGAGAUCAAUUAACAUUGUGAGUAUCCUGAUAUUACCAAAAGGAAUGAGGAAAAACUGACCUUAGAUAAAUCCUUAGAGGUAAAGUACACCUUCAGAUAAGUAUUCAAUGAGAUUGUGACCUCAUUGAUUAUACAGUAAAUUUUAAGUGAACAAUGAAUGGUAAAAGACUAAUUGGGAUCCUACACAAAACUUUCAGACAAGUGGCUACCCUUAGUCAGAGCUGGCAAACAAACUUCAAAGCCAGGCAAAGUUGUGAAAUAGACAAAAUUAUCCCUCUGACCUUUUCCUGCAGUUCUGGUUUUGCUUCUUUCUCCCAAUUCUUGUAAUGUCACAUUUUCUUAGUUAAUAAAUUAUGUGCAUUUACUUUA